GGCCAGCAUACUUAGAAUUAAUCCCUAUUUCAAUGUUUUAAAUGCCUUGAACAAAAAAGUCUUUCAUUGCCAAGUGCUUAUCCGCCGUUCAUGCAGGUUAUUGAGCUGGAGAAUCAUCCGUGAUACAUGCAUCCUUUCAUUCAAAUCAGGACCCGUGACACAAGGUGCCUCACAUGAUCAAACUUUGUAUCUUUUUGCCUCCUUUGCAGUGCCUAGACAUCACAUGAGACUUCACGGUGAUUCUCAGCAAUUGUCAAUUAGCUCUCCACUUGCUUGAAACUGCCAUUUAUCUGUGAACGUGCGGUCCUUAUUCCACUUUGCACGUGUUGUCCUUUUGGAAAAUUAAGUUUGCAUAAUAUUGGCCAACUGUGAUUUAAGUGUCAAAUGGAUUUAUGACAGCAAGCUAGUAAUCUCCAUGUCCUAAAGCUUUUAAAGAGGUUUGAUAACAAGUUGGUUGAGUAAUUUUAGAUCUGCCUUUUCAUUCUAGAUCUGCUAAUAGAUCUGUCCUACUAGUAAAGGAGAUUGCCUUUUUAGUACUUCCAUUCUAAUUCUUUUCUUUUGUUUGAUGGCUUCUCUUUUUAUCAUUGUUUGCAGGCAUAUUUUCUUCUUGAAGACUAAUACAAUUCAUCAACAAAUGGUGAAUUUAAUUCAAGAAUUUGUAUGGUGGCAUGCAGCAGUGCCAAUCAUCAGCAACAGUGAAUGAAAGCUCAAGCAAGUAUCACAUGAAUGCAAAGGUAACAAACAAAAACAAAAACAAAAAAAAAAACCAAACGAAAGAGAAAAAGAUAAAGAUUUCCGCCACCCCAGGAAAAGCAAACCUGUUAUAAUGUAUAAAUUAAAUUAACUACAUGAAAAUAACAUAACUUUAAAAACAAAAGCA